rnacentral:rRNA from 7 species
GGUCACACCCGUUCCCAUACCGAACACGGAAGUUAAGCUCUCUAGCGCCGAUGGUAGUUGGGACCUUGUCCCUGUGAGAGUAGGACGUCGCCAAGC